CUAUAGCAAGGGAAUGAAUGUCUCCCUUAGUUUAAGAACUAAAACCGCUACAUGCUGAUGACUUCUGCAUUUUU
rnacentral:ncRNA from 2 species